rnacentral:rRNA from 1 species
UAGCCUUGACAUAUAUUAGAAUCCACCAGAGAUGGAGGAGUGCCUUCGGGAGCUUUUAUACAGGUGCUGCACGGCUGUCGUCAGCUCGUGUCGUGAGAUGUUGGGUUAAGUCCCGCAACGAGCGCAACCCUCGUCACUAGUUACUAACGGUUCGGCCGAGGACUCUAGUGAGACUGCCUUCGUAAGGAGGAGGAAGGUGAGGACGACGUCAAGUCAUCAUGGCCCUUACGGCUAGGGCAACACACGUGCUACAAUGGGCAGGACAAUGAGACGCGAUACCGCGAGGUGGAGCAAAUCUAUAAACCUGUUCUCAGUUCGGAUUGUAGUCUGCAACUCGACUACAUGAAGCUGGAAUCACUAGUAAUCGUAGAUCAGCUAUGCUACGGUGAAUACGUUCCCGGGUCU